GCUUAAAUCAGAAAGAUCGACUAGCGGAUGCAGCGUAUCGGAUCAACUCAUCAAAAACUUUCGUAUGUGCAUUACUUUGAACUAAACUAAAAGAUCUGAGAUCUAAAACCCAGAAUUAAAAACGAAUUCGUCUUACAUAGGAAUUUAUAAUUGAAAAAGGUCAAUGACGAAGAAAACGGCAAAGCAAGUGUGAGAAAGACAGAGAAAGAGAAAGGAGGGGGAGGCGAGGGUGAUGAAGAUGGCGAUGCAAGCAAGAAGCUGUGAGAGGGCUUCGUUGGAUUCACGCCGUCAAAGCUUCACUUCUCUAUGGUUCUAAUCGAGCAGAGUUUCAGCCCAAUGGAGCUUGCUAGGGUUUCAACCUUAAGAAGAAUCAUCUCUACCUCCAUAGAGGAAGAACCGAUAGAUGCAGACCAAGUGGUUCGGUCCGUAUAAAAGGACCGUGAAUCUUUUCAGGCACGGAACGCCGGCUUAUCUUGUUUGAGACUCCAGUGGAGGGAAAGCAAACAGGUUGCCACCAUCGUUCAUGGCGUCGAAUCCAACGGAUUGGCAUCGUAAAUAUUUCGCACGGUUGAUAGAAUUUUUUCAUUUGAAGAGAGAGGAGUGAAAUAUCUAUUAAAAACGUGGGAAAGCUUGAUAUUUAACUAUAUUUAAAGGGAGAGGAGUAAUAAUUUUUCUUUUUCUUUUUAA